GACAGAGGAUGCAAGCGUUAUCCGGAAUGAUUGGGCGUAAAGCGUCUGUAGGUGGCUUUUUAAGUCUGCCGUCAAAUCCCAGGGCUUAACCCUGGACAGGCGGUGGAAACUACCAAGCUGGAGUACGGUAGGGGCAGAGGGAAUUUCCGGUGGAGCGGUGAAAUGCGUAGAGAUCGGAAAGAACACCAACGGCGAAGGCACUCUGCUGGGCCCGACACUGACACUGAGAGACGAAAGCUAGGGGAGCAAAUGGG
rnacentral:rRNA from 1 species